AAGGAAUAUUGGUCAAUGGGCGCAAGCCUGAACCAGCCAUGCCGCGUGCAGGAAGACGGCCCUAUGGGUUGUAAACUGCUUUUGUCAGGGAAUAAACCCCCGUACGUGUACGGGGCUGAAGGUACCUGAAGAAUAAGCAUCGGCUAACUCCGUGCCAGCAGCCGCGGUAAUACGGAGGAUGCAAGCGUUAUCCGGAUUCAUUGGGUUUAAAGGGUGCGCAGGCGGAUUGAUAAGUCAGGGGUGAAAUCCCACAGCUCAACUGUGGAACUGCCUUUGAUACUGUUAGUCUUGAGUAUAGUUGAAGUGGGCGGAAUGUGUCAUGUAGCGGUGAAAUGCGUAGAUAUUAGGAGGAACACCGGUGGCGAAGGCGGCUUGCUGGACAAAUACUGACGCUGAGGUGCGAAAGCGUGGGGAGCAAACA
rnacentral:rRNA from 1 species